UACGUAGGGUGCAAGCGUUGUCCGGAAUUAUUGGGCGUAAAGAGCUCGUAGGCGGUUUGUCGCGUCGAAUGUGAAAACCCGGGGCUCAACCCCGGGCCUGCAUUCGAUACGGGCAGACUAGAGUUCGGUAGGGGAGUCUGGAAUUCCUGGUGUAGCGGUGAAAUGCUCAGAUAUCGGGAGGAACACCGGUGGCGAAGGCGGUUCUCUGGGCCUUACCUGACGCUGAGGAGCGAAAGCGUGGGGAGCGAACAGG
rnacentral:rRNA from 1 species